GUGCGUCUGGGCACCUCAGAA
rnacentral:misc_RNA from 1 species